UACGGAGGGGGCUAGCGGUGUUCGGAAUUACUGGGCGUAAAGCGCACGUAGGCGGACUGGAAAGUCAGGGGUGAAAUCCCGGGGCUCAAGCCCGGAACUGCCUAUGAAAUUCCCAGUCUUGAGGUCGAGAGAGGUGAGUGGAAUUCCGAGUGUAGAGGUGAAAUUCGUAGAUACUCGGAGGAACACCAGUGGCGAAGGCGGCUCACUGGCUCGAUACUGACGCUGAGGUGCGAAAGCGUGGCGAGUACACAGG
rnacentral:rRNA from 1 species